rnacentral:rRNA from 1 species
ACAGAGGGUGCAAGCGUUAAUCGGAAUUACUGGGCGUAAAGCGCGCGCAGGCGGUUUUGUAAGUCAGAUGUGAAAUCCCCGGGCUCAACCUGGGAAUUGCAUUGGAGACUGCAAGGCUAGAAUCUGGCAGAGGGGGGUAGAAUUCCACGUGUAGCAGUGAAAUGCGUAGAUAUGUGGAGGAACACCGAUGGCGAAGGCAGCCCCCUGGGUCAAGAUUGACGCUCAUGCACGAAAGCGUGGGGAGCAAACAGG